GAUGGCCCCACCGUUCAGGCUGGGCUGCUUCUCCUGCAUCUCCGACUGGCUGUCGCUGGCCACGUCCAGCGUGGGAUUGUCGUGGCAGCCGUUCUCCACGAAGCGCAGCUCCUCACCGUGCGACUGCAGCAGCAGGAGAGAGCGCUAGGCGCGCACAGUGGUUGGCCACGCCAAGCCCCCAGGGUACUCCCUUGGGGCCCAGGAUACAAGUGCCUGCAGCUCAAACCUAAACCUCUGCAGUCCUAACCCCUCCCUGGCCUACUCACCACGUGUUUGAGCUUGGGCAUCCGGCGCUGCCAACAAUUGUAGAGUAGGCCAAGCACAAUGAUGAUGAAGCAGAUGACACCAAUGAUCACCAGCACUACAAAGAGCGUCCCGUAGUCACUGCGCACCUGGGUGGCCCGUGCCUGGCAGCUGCUGGUGGUGGAGUAGUUCUGGAUGCCAAUCUGAGGGUGGGGGUAUGGGACCAGGCAUCAGGAAAGUCCUAAGAGCUAACAUUCCAAGGGUGAGUUAGAGCCCCUGACAGCCCUGGGGCCUGGACCUGCAUAGAGGGGCAUACCAUUCUGUCCCUACUGGUUCAUCCAAGAACACUUCCAAGCCUCUCCCAGGGGCCACAUUCUUGGCCCCUUCACUUCCUCACUGUGUUUCUACACCAACCCAACUUUGAAUGCACCAGCUCUAGCCCUGAACAUCACUGAGACGUGAUGACAGUCANGGCCCAAAUAGAUGGGGCCCCACACCUGUCCCCAUCAGUUUCGCAAAGCAACAUGACAUCUGGGAGACUUGAGUUCACCAAAGUCAGAGGCCUGAAGCAAGCUUCAUCUUUAGGGGUAAGNNNNNNNNNNNNNNNNNNNNNNNNNNNNNNNNNNNNNNNNNNNNNNNNNNNNNNNNNNCCCUGCAGUAGAAUGCCUGUUGGGUCUCCUAGCUUCACAGCCCUCCCUGUUCUUUCCUGAGCCUCCAUUGCAGGCCUGUGGCAGGACACCUCCCCGGUCUGCUCACCCUGCUCUCCUACAAGGGUCAUCAGCAGGUGUUGCUCUUUCUCACUGGGCUUGCUCAGAGAGAUAUGCCAGUCCCCACGAUGGCCACUGCGGUGGCGUGGCAGUACCUCCUCCACCAGGGCUAAUAGCCGUAGUCCCCGGUGCCGCCGAAAUACUUCCUAGGGAUUCAGAGGAGCCAAGCUUAAGGUUGGGUGGUAGCUUUCAUCCCAGAUCCCAAAGGCCUAGAUGGCCCUCUGGCCAGCCUGGUCGGCCCUGGGCCCAGCUGAGAGCAGGGCCCAGGCAGAUANAGCUUGCUGGUUCACUUCCAUCUNUAAAUACCGUGGUAAAGGUAUGAGCCGCCCCAAAGUCAGUCGGGUAGAGGGGACAUGGAUCUGUCCAUCCUUGUCAUGGGGCAAGUAUCCAGCGCUGGAAACAACAGCAUUAAGUCCCCAUGGCCACCAGAGAGCAGGGAGGCUGAAAACAGCAGGCUCCUCUGCUGGUCAUUCCACCAUGUCACUGAGCCUCAGGGGAGCGGUGGGAAUGCCCGUACAGCAAGGGACUUGAAAAACCCAUAGAGAUGACUCAGAGUACCCUGGAACUCGCCAAGGGAGUGGGGUGGGGUAGGGUGGGUGUAGGGUGAGGUGGCUUCUUUCCCCCCAGACUCUACCCCACUGUUUGGAUGAUCAUGUCAAGUAUAAUUACAGAAUGUAACAAGNAAACAAACGCAGCCCUCCACAGGAACUCUGGCAGAGAGAGACCAGGCUGCUGCCACCAGACGAGUCCCACCAGAUCCCUCUCCUGCAUGNCCAGCUCUCCAGACACGUCAACAGGCCACCGUGGGUGCAAGCCCAAUGCCNUCCUGUGACCCCCGAGGCAGAGAUGAACUGCUACUCUUGUUGCGUUCCUACCUAGGAUAAGGACCUAUCCCCCCCCACCUUGGUGGUUGUGCCAACCUGAAAUCCACCAAGCUGACUUUUAUGGUGGGCUUGCUCCUUGUGACCAUAGCAAAAGCCAGGUGCCGCUCAAGUCUAGACACUCUAGCUUCCCGGUCAGCAGUUCUGUCCCAAACAUUCAAAUCCCAGGGUCAAGUGGUCAGCGUUGUUACUGAUGUGAGGACAGGGCGGUCUUCUACCUGCCUGCUGCUCUGCCACAUGUAUGACAUCCUUCCCUGUAUAGCGAAGUCUCCCAGACUCAGGGAAAGGAUGGGAUCCCUCAUCCUGGGGCAAAGAUGCUCCUGGCUUCUAGACUCCAAGGCCAGAUUGGCAUUUGCUACUUUAUCACUCUGUGUCUGUGCCUGCUGAUCUCUGCCGGCUCCCUUCCUGUCUCCUCUAUCCUAGAUAGAAAACAGGAGAAGCUGGCUAGCCGACACUACUCUUGGCGAUCUCAAGUGCAAAGUUCUAAAACUGUAGCUGCAUCGUGUAAAGCGUCUCUGGGGGCCGUGGCACAUUCCUCCCUAUUCUUUAUUACCUGACGAUGAGGGCUCUGCGUGGCCCAUCACCUUCAAUGCACAGUGUUCCAUUCUCUUCAAACAUAAGUCAGAAAGGAAACAAUGGACCGCUGGAUGGGAGACAAGAAGUCUACAUACAGCGCUCGGGAAAGGAUACACCAAUNGCAAACUCACUCUCUGCCUGGAGAAGAUGGGACAUCUUCUCUCCUCUGAUUUACUUUCUACCCCGACAUGCUGGGUAUGAACCCAAAACUGUGCUGAGCAGCACCACAGAGCCACACCGUAGCCCUGGAAGCUCACGUUUUCAAGAGUAAAACUGAGUGCCUGUGAUCAUG
rnacentral:lncRNA from 1 species